CACUGCGAGAGCACAGUGCUGCCUACUGUUUUACUCUUAAAUGCUUAAGAUAUACAUUUUUUAGUAUAAAGAGUAAUAACCUUGUUAAAGGAGCCCUUCCUAGCCAAGGCAACACCAGGCUGCUGUAACAAGAUGGAGGACUGGCAAAGACUUCUGGGAAAUGGUAGGCUUGAAGAUGUGGACUAGCCUGGAUGAAUUGGAGUACCUAUUACACAGAGUUUUUCAUUUUUAUCCCACUGCCCAAAGAUGCUCCGUUUUGAUGAGUCAGUGACUCAGACAGUCAGUGCUUAGGCAUGAAGUCGCUGAGAAAGGGUGUAGGAGUGUUUAAUGUGAAGCUCUCUGAAGGACAACAAGAAUCAAGCAACAAAGAGUUAACAUAACUAAAGCAAAAUUCAAAUAAGGUGACAGUUCAGUACAGCUAUUAAAUACAACAGAGAAAUGGUACAUUUAAGCUGAAGAAGACUUGGCAUGUAGAUACAGCAAUACAGAGAAAACGGUAGUGAUCAAAGAUUAAGAGAUAUUAAGUUAGAAGCCAUGAAGGUGAAUGUGUGUGCUCCUUUAAGACCGCAAGGUGCAGCUCAUGGUCCACCGAACAUUUCAUUUGAAUCGAGUGACGCAGUAUCAGUCUUAUGUGCCAUUUGUCAUGUACAAAGCAUACAUAUGGUGUAUGCCUGAAGGUUCACAACUGGACAAGAGAGAAUAGAAGCACAAUACAAAAUA